UACCUUUGUGGUGUGAUCGGUUCAUCAUCAGUGAUUAAAAAGGAAUCAGGUGUAAAUCCUGAACAGUCCCGCUGCUGUAAGCUGUCCUUUAUCAAAGUACGAACAAAGAUGCCACUGAUUCUUUUCGGGAAGGCGUUCGUGUUCGGGCAGCAAAGUUAGAAGACCUGCCCGUCGCGUGUGAUUUCCC
rnacentral:ncRNA from 18 species